rnacentral:rRNA from 1 species
GACGAACGCUGGCGGCGUGCCUAAUACAUGCAAGUCGAACGCAGUGGGGACGGGUGAGUAACACGUGGGUAACCUCCCAUCAGAGGGGAUAACACUUGGAAACAGGUGCUAAACCGAUACUGAUGGAUGGACCCGCGGUGCAUUAGCUAGUUGGUGAGGUAACGGCUCACCAAGGCCACGAUGCAUAGCCGACCUGAGAGGGGGUUCGGCCAAACUGGAACUGAGAAACGGCCCAGAAUCCUACGGGAGGCAGCAGGAGGGAAUCUGCGGCAAUGGACGAAAGUCUGACCGAGCAACGCCGCGUGAGGUAAGAAGUUUUUCGGAUCGUAAAACUCUGUUGUUAGAGAAGCGGUAUCUAACCAGAAAGCCACGGCUAACUACGUGCUAGCAGCCGCGGUAAUUC